rnacentral:rRNA from 1 species
GACGAACGCUGGCGGCGUGCUUAACACAUGCAAGUCGAACGGAAAGGCCCUGCUUGCAGGGUGCUCGAGUGGCGAACGGGUGAGUAACACGUGGGUGAUCUGCCCCUUACUUUGGGAUAAGCCUGGAAACUGGGUCUAAUACUGGAUAGGACCAUGCUGUAGGUGGUGUGGUGGAAAGAUUAGUUUCGGUAAGGGAUGAGCUCGCGGCCUAUCAGCUUGUUGGUGGGGUAAUGGCCUACCAAGGCGUCGACGGGUAGCCGGCCUGAGAGGGUGGACGGCCACAUUGGGACUGAGAUACGGCCCAGACUCCUACGGGAGGCAGCAGUGGGGAAUAUUGCACAAUGGGCGCAAGCCUGAUGCAGCGACGCCGCGUGGGGGAUGACGGCCUUCGGGUUGUAAACUCCUUUCAGCCAUGACGAAGCCCUUGUGGUGACGGUAGUGGUAGAAGAAGCACCGGCUAACUACGUG